rnacentral:tRNA from 1 species
GGUUUUAGCUCAGUGGUAGAGUGCUCGCCUUGUAUGUGUGAGGCACUGGGUUCGAUGCUCAGCACCA